AGGCACUUCUCCCAGGGACCUGUGGUCUGUUUUCAGCACGGGAAUUUUAAGAAAGGAGACUGGGAGGCUGUCGCUACAGUAGCCAUUAUGCUGGUGAAUUUUCCACCGCACGGCCCACAAGCGGCUCCGUGGCGGCCAAGGGGAGCCGGAACCUGCGAGGAUCCUGGGAACUGUGAUUCCGGCGUGGGUCAGCAGCGAUGGCCGGAGGGCCGGGUCCAGCUGGCCCUGGUGAGAGAGAGCGGUAGAGUGUGACUCGUGGGGGCGAGGCAAUGGGAGUGACCAGCCCCGAGUCCCAGAGUUGCUGGGCGCUAGAGCUACUCGGACUUUUCUUCCCUGCCUGGGGUCUACUUUUUCGGAUCCCUACCUGCCAGGAAAGGACUAUCUGUAGAGACUUCUGGGCUCUUGGCAACCUCCUUUCGGGAGAACCUACAUCCCUUUUCAGGACAUGCUGUUCUCAGGAGAGCGAUGAUGGAAUCAGGCAAUGCUUAGAAGUAGCACUGUUACUUUCACUCGCAUUUCAUCGUCUAAGGCAAGUCACAAGACCAAGCCUGAUAAUGGGCAAGGAUGGGAUCCUUGCUGAAGUACAGUCCUGUUGUACAGAAACAAUAACCGGGGACAGUGAUAAAAUCGAUCACAAAGACCUGUUUUAUUCUAGUCACUAGCAAAAUGACAGAGGUACAUUCCUUGUUACAAGAAGUUCACAGUCUAGUAAAAGCCAUAUAAAUUCUAAAAACAUGUAGUGGAGUUGCAGUACAGUGUGACUAAGGUUAGAGGCCCAUGUUGGACAGAA